UACGGAGGGUGCAAGCGUUAUCCGGAUUCACUGGGUUUAAAGGGUGCGUAGGCGGGCAGGUAAGUCCGUGGUGAAAUCUCUGAGCUUAACUCAGAAACUGCCAUGGAUACUAUUUGUCUUGAAUGUUGUGGAGGUAAGCGGAAUAUGUCAUGUAGCGGUGAAAUGCUUAGAUAUGACAUAGAACACCAAGUGCGAAGGCAGCUUACUACACAAAUAUUGACGCUGAGGCACGAAAGCGUGGGGAUCAAACAGG
rnacentral:rRNA from 1 species